rnacentral:rRNA from 1 species
GACGAACGCUGGCGGCGUGCUUAACACAUGCAAGUCGAACGAAGUCGCGAACGGGUUAGUAACGCGUAAUCAACCUGCCCUUCAGUGGCGUACAAAAGUUGGAAACGACUGCUAAUACCGCAUACUGAAGGAGGGGAUUGAGUCUGAUUAGGUAGUGGGAGGGGUAACGGCCCACAAAGGCGAUGAUCAGUAGCCGGGCUUAGAGGAUGAACGGCUACAUUGGGAAUGAGAAACGGCCCAGACUCCUACGGGAGGGAGCAGUUGGGAAUCAUCCGCAAUGGACGAAAGUCUGACGGAGCAACGCCGCGGUAGUGAUGACGGCCUUCGGGUUGUAAAGCUCUGUUAAUCGGGAAGCGGUACCGGAAUAGAAAGCCCCGGCUAACUACGUGCCAGCCGCCGCGGUAAUUC